UUUUUAGUAUAAGUAUGUCCCAUGAUUAGUUUGGAAUAUACUUAUGCUAAAA
rfam:Ictidomys tridecemlineatus contig074413, whole genome shotgun sequence.